AUACGUAGGGGGCAAGCGUUAUCCGGAUUUACUGGGUGUAAAGGGAGCGUAGGCGGUUCUGUAAGCGUGAGGUGAAAGCCCGGGGCUUAACUCCGGUAAGCCUUUCGAACUGCAGGACUUGAGUGCUGGAGGGGAAAGUGGAAUUCCUAGGGUAGCGGGGAAAUGCGUAGAUAUUAGGAGGAACACCAGUGGCGAAGGCGACUUUCUGGACAGUAACUGACGCUGAGGUACGAAAGCGUGGGGAGCAAACAGGAUUAGAUACCCUGGUAGUCCACGCUGUAAACGAUGAGCACUAGGUGUCGGGCUAGCAAUAGUUCGGUGCCGCAGUUAACGCAAUAAGUGCUCCGCCUGGGGAGUACGCACGCAAGUGUGAAACUCAAAGGAAUUGACGGGG
rnacentral:rRNA from 1 species